UACGUAGGGUGCAGGCGUUAAUCGGAAUUACUGGGCGUAAAGCGUGCGCAGGCGGUUUGCUAAGACAGGUGUGAAAUCCCCGGGCUCAACCUGGGAAUGGCAAUGGAUACUGGCAAGCUAGAGUGUGUCAGAGGAUGGUGGAAUUCCCGGUGUAGCGGUGAAAUGCGUAGAGAUCGGGAGGAACAUCAGUGGCGAAGGCGGCCAUCUGGGACAACACUGACGCUGAGGCACGAAAGCUAGGGGAGCAAACAGG
rnacentral:rRNA from 1 species